rnacentral:rRNA from 1 species
UACGUAGGGUGCAAGCGUUAAUCGGAAUUACUGGGCGUAAAGCGUGCGCAGGCGGUUUUGUAAGUCUGUCGUGAAAUCCCCGGGCUCAACCUGGGAAUUGCGAUGGAGACUGCAAGGCUUGAAUCUGGCAGAGGGGGGGUAGAAUUCCACGUGUAGCAGUGAAAUGCGUAGAGAUGUGGAGGAACACCGAUGGCGAAGGCAGCCCCCCUGGGUCAAGAUUGACGCUCAUGCACGAAAGCGUGGGGAGCAAACAGG